rnacentral:rRNA from 1 species
AUUGAACGCUGGCGGCAGGCCUAACACAUGCAAGUCGAACGGUAACAGGAAGCAGCUUGCUGCUUUGCUGACGAGUGGCGGACGGGUGAGUAAUGUCUGGGAAACUGCCUGAUGGAGGGGGAUAACUACUGGAAACGGUAGCUAAUACCGCAUAACGUCGCAAGACCAAAGAGGGGGACCUUCGGGCCUCUUGCCAUCGGAUGUGCCCAGAUGGGAUUAGCUAGUAGGUGGGGUAACGGCUCACCUAGGCGACGAUCCUUAGCUGGUCUGAGAGGAUGACCAGCCACACUGGAACUGAGACACGGUCCAGACUCCUACGGGAGGCAGCAGUGGGGAAUAUUGCACAAUGGGCGCAAGCCUGAUGCAGCCAUGCCGCGUGUAUGAAGAAGGCCUUCGGGUUGUAAAGUACUUUCAGCGGGGAGGAAGGGAGUAAAGUUAAUACCUUUGCUCAUUGACGUUACCCGCAGAAGAAGCACCGGCUAACUCCGUG